rnacentral:rRNA from 1 species
UACGGAGGGAGCUAGCGUUGUUCGGAAAUACUGGGCGUAAAGCGCACGUAGGCGGCGCAGCAAGUCAGGGGUGAAAUCCCAGAGCUCAACUCUGGAACUGCCUUUGAUACUGUCGAUCUAGAGUAUGGAAGAGGUGAGUGGAAUUCCGAGUGUAGAGGUGAAAUUCGUAGAUAUUCGGAGGAACACCAGUGGCGAAGGCGGCUCACUGGUCCAUUACUGACGCUGAGGUGCGAAAAGCGUGGGGGAGCAAACAGG